GAUUCUCUUGAAAGUUGAAUCCUUAGACACGCUCACACACACAAAACAAAGAAAGUAAGUUGGGCUUCGAAACCGCUGGAACGCCGACGAAGCUCACCUGAAUAGUGACUCUUCAGACCGUGUUCUUCUUCUCAGAUACAUUUCCUUCUGUUUAUCAAAUUGCAUCGAAGAGAUCAAACUCCAUCAACUUGUUACGGAGAAAUCUUCGAAUUGAUUUUUUUAAGGCCCAAAUGAUCUGAAGUUUUUGUGGGAUUAAAUGGCGUCCAACACUACCCAACAUGUUUGUCCGCCUUCAAUGAAGGCAACUUCUAAUGGAGCUUUCCAAGGGGACAAUCCGCUAGAUUUUGCACUUCCUCUUCUCAUCUUGCAGAUAUGCCUUGUGCUUGUUCUCACUCGGGUUCUUGCUUAUCUUUUAAAGCCAUUAAAACAGCCUCGUGUGAUUGCUGAGAUCAUUGGUGGUAUACUGCUCGGGCCUUCAGUUCUAGGUCGUAACAAGACAUACCUGAAUGCGGUUUUUCCUUCACGAAGCCUCACAGUGUUAGAUACUUUAGCCAACAUCGGUCUCAUCUUCUUUUUGUUCUUAGUUGGUUUAGAGAUGGACCCAAAAUCCCUAUCUAGGACUGGAAAGCGAAUUCUCAGUAUUGCUCUUGCUGGAAUUACUGUACCAUUUUCUUUAGGAAUCGGGACAUCGUUUGUCCUUCGGAAUACAAUUUCGAAAGGGGUUGACGGUCCACCAUUUCUUAUAUUUAUGGGUGUAGCCUUUUCAAUUACUGCCUUCCCUGUCCUGGCCCGUAUUCUAGCUGAGCUCAAACUCCUCACAACGGAUGUUGGUAGGAUGGCUAUGUCGGCUGCUGCAGUAAAUGACGUGGCUGCCUGGAUCCUACUUGCUCUAGCUGUUGCUCUUUCUAGCUCAGGUCAUUCCCCUCUGGUGGCUCUUUGGGUUCUUUUCUGUGGCUGUGGAUUUGUUGCGGGAGCAUUUCUCAUAUUCCGACCACUCUUUGCAUGGAUGGCUAAAUGUACCCAUGAAGGUGAGCCUGUAGGUGAAACUUACAUUUGUGCCACCUUAGGUGCUGUUCUUGCUGCUGGAUUUGUGACCGACGCUAUUGGUAUCCAUGCUCUUUUUGGUGCCUUUGUCCUUGGAGUUCUUGUGCCAAAAGAAGGGCCAUUAGGUGUCUCUCUUGUUGAAAAGGUUGAAGAUUUGGUAUCUGGCCUCUUCCUUCCUUUGUAUUUUGCUUCAAGUGGGUUGAAAACUAAUGUAGCCACAAUUCAAGGGCUUCAGUCGUGGGGUCUUCUUGUCUUGGUUAUAUUCACAGCUUGUUUCGGGAAGAUUGUCGGCACUAUUGUGGUUUCCCGUGCUUGUAAGGUCCCUUGGCGUGAAUCUUUUACUUUGGGUUUUCUCAUGAACAGUAAAGGCUUGGUGGAACUCAUCGUCCUUAACAUUGGUAAAGACCGAAAGGUUUUGAACGAUCAAACUUUUGCCAUCAUGGUUUUGAUGGCUCUGUUCACAACCUUCAUGACAACACCUGUGGUUAUGAUUAUAUAUAAACCAUCAAAAAGGGCGGGCCUGACGGAGGCGGACUACAAGAAUAAAACAAUAGAAAGAAUAGAUGUCAGUUCCCAGCUUCGGAUUUUGGCAUGCUUCCAUAGUACAAAGAAUAUCCCGACAAUGAUCAAUCUCAUUGAGGCCUCUCGUGGUAGUGGAAGACAAGAAAGUUUAUGUGUUUAUGCAUUGCACUUAACAGAGCUGUCCGAGAGAUCAUCUGCAAUACUCAUGGUACACAAGGCACGGAAAAAUGGAUUACCAUUUUGGAAUAAGGGGAGGAGAGAUUCAGACCACAUUGUCGUCGCCUUUGAGACUUUCGAGCAGUUGAGUCAUGUCUCUGUAAGACCAAUGACAUCCAUCUCUGCGCUGUCGAAUAUGCACGAGGAUAUCUGUGCUAGUGCCAAAAGUAAGAAAGCAGCAAUGAUUAUCCUCCCAUUUCACAAGCACCAAAGGGUAGAUGGGGCCCUUGAAACUACACGUACAGAUUUUCGGUGGGUAAACCACAAGGUUCUCCAAAACGCACCGUGCUCGGUAGGUAUCCUCGUUGACCGCAGCCUUGGUGGGGCUUCUCAAGUAUCUGCAAGGGAUGUUUCUUCUUCCAUUACUGUUAUAUUCUUUGGGGGUCGUGAUGACCGUGAAGCACUUGCUUAUGCUGUUCGCAUGGCCGAGCAUCCAGGUAUCAACUUAGCAGUCAUCCGCAUCACAGUGCAGCUUGAAUCCGGUGGAGAAAUUGCUGUGAUUGAAAUGAACGAGGGGAGUAAUACUGAAAGUCGUUUACUUGAUGAGGAAGUCCUAUCUGUGUUUGAAAAGCAGAUCUCCCAGAACCCUUCCCUGAAAUAUGAGGAGAGAUUGCUUAGAAAUUCUGUGGAAAUUGUGGCUGUUGUUCAGGAAUUCAGUAGAUGCAGUCUAUUUUUAGUUGGUCGCAUGCCAAUUGGUGUUGUGCAACCUGUUCUAAAUGGGAGGAGCGAUUGCCCAGAACUUGGUCCAAUAGGAAGUUUAUUGGUUUCACCAGAUCUUUCAACAACAGCUUCCGUUUUGGUUGUUCAACAGUAUUACAACCAGCCACCUUCAGAUUUAGCUGUUUUUUCAGAAGAUUCAGGCUCCAAAUAGUUGUUGAUUCUCUAUUACAGUUAGAGCUGCAGCUGCUUAUGAAUCUAUAUGCUACAUGAGCCUUGCAAUGUAGUUGAACAAGUGGUAGCUCGAAUCUGAUGCAUUCCAGUAUGCAGUGUGGACAUUGGCAUGUUAGUUAAUGAGCAUCUGGUACGCCAAGGUUACGCAUUAUUUCGACACAGAAUAGUAUUUGGUAAAAGCAAGGCAUAGGAACUGGAGAUGCCAAUUAUUGGAAUCUUAGUUCACUAGAGUGCCCGAAAGUAGUAUGCAGGGAGGUACAGUAUCCGGUAAUUGUCAGAUUCUACCUCCUCCAAGCAAGUCUUACCUUGUCCUGGAUAGCAGGUGCACAAACUCAUGCGGAUUUAAUCACUCUCUUUGCAUGUGGUUGGAGAAGCCUUGGCCUCAAGUUUUACUGUCUGUAUUCCAUGUCCAAAAGUAUGUCGCUGUAUACAACCCGGUUUGAGAGGAUCAAUCCAACAUCGGGCAUCAAACUUUAUAAAGAACUCUGCUGCUUGGCAUGUACUCUUUUUGUUCAAACUGAUUGUUAAAAAUGAUUAUUGUUAUAGGGAAAGCCAAAUUGGUUGUAGGGAAAGCUGACUUUGGUCAUAACCAUGUGACUUUUAGUCAAUAUGGGAGAAAAUAUAAAAAGACUUUCUUCUUCUUCCAUCUUUCACGUUUCCCCCCGUCAGUAAAAUGGAUUUUCGUCUCA